rnacentral:rRNA from 1 species
AUUGAACGCUGGCGGCAUGCCUUACACAUGCAAGUCGAACGGUAACGGGCCUUCGGGUGCCGACGAGUGGCGAACGGGUGAGUAAUGUAUCGGAACGUACCUUUCAGUGAGGGAUAACGUAGCGAAAGUUACGCUAAUACCGCAUAUUCUGUGAGCAGGAAAGCAGGGGAUCGCAAGACCUUGCGCUGAUUGAGCGGCCGAUAUCAGAUUAGCUAGUUGGUGAGGUAAAGGCUCACCAAGGCGACGAUCUGUAGCGGGUCUGAGAGGAUGAUCCGCCACACUGGAACUGAGACACGGUCCAGACUCCUACGGGAGGCAGCAGUGGGGAAUUUUGGACAAUGGGGGCAACCCUGAUCCAGCCAUGCCGCGUGAGUGAAGAAGGCCUCGGUGUAAGCUCUUUCGCCGGGAGAAAUACGUAUGGGCUAAUACCCUGUGCGGAUGACGGUACCGGC